UUUUGGGCAACAGGGGGGAACAUGGGCCAACCAUGCCGCCUGAGACAAAAAGGCCUUGGGGUUGUGAAGAUGGCUUCCCCGCAAUAAAAUGGGUUGAACUAGGAAUAAUGUAAAAUGACGGUACCGUAAGAAGAAGCACCGGCUAACUAUGUGCCAGCAGCCGCGGUAAUACAUAGGGUGCAAGCGUUGUCCGGAAUUAUUGGGCGUAAAGAGCUCGUAGGUGGUUCGUAACGUCGGGUGUGAAAAUUUGGGGCUCAACCCCAGACCUGCAUUCGAUACGGGCGAACUAGAGUGUGGUAGGGGAGACUGGAAUUCCUGGUGUAGCGGUGGAAUGCGCAGAUAUCAGGAGGAACACCAAUGGCGAAGGCAGGUCUUUGGGCCAUUACGACACGAGGAGCGAAA
rnacentral:rRNA from 1 species